rnacentral:rRNA from 1 species
CAGUCGAGGGGUAGAAGUCUUCGGACUUUGAGACCGGCGCACGGGUGCGUAACGCGUAUGCAAUCUACCUUUUACAGAGGGAUAGCCCAGAGAAAUUUGGAUUAAUACCUCAUAGUAUAUAGACUCGGCAUCGAGAUUAUAUUAAAGUCACAACGGUAAAAGAUGAGCAUGCGUCCCAUUAGCUAGUUGGUAAGGUAACGGCUUACCAAGGCUACGAUGGGUAGGGGUCCUGAGAGGGAGAUCCCCCACACUGGUACUGAGACACGGACCAGACUCCUACGGGAGGCAGCAGUGAGGAAUAUUGGACAAUGGGCGCAAGCCUGAUCCAGCCAUGCCGCGUGCAGGAUGACGGUCCUAUGGAUUGUAAACUGCUUUUAUACGAGAAGAAACACUCCUUCGUGAAGGAAUUUGACGGUAUCGUAAGAAUAAGGAUCGGCUAACUCCGUGCCAGCAGCCGCGGUAAUACGGAGGAUCCAAGCGUUAUCCGGAAUCAUUGGGUUUAAAGGGUCCGUAGGCGGUUUGGUAAGUCAGUGGUGAAAGCCCAUCGCUCAACGGUGGAACGGCCAUUGAUACUGCCAGACUUGAAUUAUUAGGAAGUAACUAGAAUAUGUAGUGUAGCGGUGAAAUGCUUAGAGAUUACAUGGAAUACCAAUUGCGAAGGCAGGUUACUACUAAUGGAUUGACGCUGAUGGACGAAAGCGUGGGUAGCGAACAGGAUUAGAUACCCUGGUAGUCCACGCCGUAAACGAUGGAUACUAGCUGUUGGAAGCAAUUUCAGUGGCUAAGCGAAAGUGAUAAGU